rnacentral:lncRNA from 1 species
CCAUGAUUGCUUCUGCUCCACUUCAGUCCACAGCAGAGAAUCAUCCCUGAGGGCAAAAUCCAUCUGCUGAAGGAAACUACUCUAUUGCUCUCUCCAGAAGAAAACCUUGUCUUUGAUAUUGAAGUGUUAUGAAGGAAUGAAAAAAUCUGUAAAAUGACA